UGUGUGCGUGUGUGGCACAUGUGUGCAGUAGCCAGCUAGUUAGGUGCUUGCCGAGUCACUUGGGUCAAGGAAUGAGUUUAGGCCGUAGCUAGUAGUGCAUGCGUGGGUUGUUGCGUGCAUGUAGUUGGCUAGCGGGUGCAUGCAUUGGUAGUUAGCUGGUUAGCCGGCCUGGAGUAGUGGCCGGUAGUGGUGGCCGUGUGGUGCGUGCGUGGGAGUCAUGCAUGCUUGGCCGCUGUGUCACCUCGAGUAUAAAGGCCAGGCGAUGAAGUACGAGAGUCUUGGCACUCUGGAAUAGAAAAACGGGGCUGUGUGUGCAGCCGGGUGAAACUCCAGUGUAUCCGUCUCCUUCUACCUCUAGUCUUGAAUGAGAGAGAGGGCUGCGGUUCCAACAAUUGGUAUACAGAGCCAGAUUCGAGGGGCGGCCGUGGCGUCCGCGGUGCCCGCGGUGCGCGGCAGACAUGAAUGUCUUGGCAACGGCGCGCGGCGAGCGCAUUGCGUCGGCAACGAGCGGCGAGUCCACGACGGUGUGGCGUGAUGCCGGGCGCGCGGCGAGCGCGUGGCGUCGGCAACGUGCGGCGAGUCCACAGCGGUGUGGCGUGAUGCCAUGCGCGCGACGAGCAGCGGCGGUCGCGGAGAUGAGGAGGUCGCGGAGGACCUGCAUGGUGUCGCAGAGGCUGCGGCGGCUCGGCGCGACGACCGUGGAGGCGCGGCGCUGCGGUUGACGGACGACGACGACGACGACGACGGACUCCUCUAGGUCGUGGCUUAGGAGGUGUGUUGGAAUAAGCCACGACGUGUGUGGUCGGGCGCGUCGGAUGCACGUGGGACGGGCGGGACACACUGAUGCCGUCGGGCUCGUCGGGUUCGUCGGGCACGUCGGUGGCGCGCGGGACGAACGGGACGUGCGGGACGCAGCAACGUGGCGUAUGUGUGUAGCGUGUGUGCGUGUGUGGCACAUGUGUGCAGUAGCCAGCUAGUUAGGUGCUUGCCGAGUCACUUGGGUCAAGGAGUGAGUUUAGGCCAUAGCUAGUAGUGCAUGCGUGGGUUGUUGCGUGCAUGUAGUUGGCUAGCGGGUGCAUGCAUUGGUAGUUAGCUGGUUAGCCGGCCUGGAGUUAGUGGCCGGUAGUGGUGGCCGUGUGAUGUGUGCGUGGGAGUCAUGCAUGCUUGGCCGCUG
rnacentral:lncRNA from 1 species